AGGCAUCCGAGCUACAUACGUUCGCGAGCUACGACGGGUGAAGGUGAAGGUGCCGUGUGCACUUUCACAACGGGUUCGAUAGUUUUGCGAUAAUGAGGUGCUUUCGAACGCAGGGCCAAUGCAGGCUAACGAAAGAAAUCUGACAAAACUCUAAUUUGCACCUAAUAAAAAAUUACUCUUCCUCUGUCGAGAUACGAGAUCGUUGUAUAAAGACAGGCACAGUUGGACAGAUAGACAGACGGUGAUUUAUAUACAUAUACAUGGCGCAUAAAGUAGAGAACAAGAAUACAUUAAAUUAUAUUACGAAUGUAAAACAAGUAUGUGUGUUAGUAUUACUAUUCGAAAUAAAAUAAAAAAAUAAAUAAAUAAGAAGUAGAUAUAAAUACUUAAUCACGGUAGGUAGCUUGUCUGGUAUCGAGAACAAAAAGUCCAAAUAAAUAAAUAAAUAAAUAAAUAAUGACUACAAAAAAUA
rnacentral:lncRNA from 1 species